UACGGAGGGUGCAAGCGUUGUCCGGAAUCAUUGGGCGUAAAGCGUUCGUAGGCGGCAUACCAAGUCUGGUGUUAAAUCCCGGGGCUCAACUCCGGUCUGGCACUGGAUACUGGUAAGCUAGAAUGUGGUAGAGGUAAAGGGAAUUCCUGGUGUAGCGGUGAAAUGCGUAGAUAUCAGGAGGAACACCGGUGGCGUAAGCGCUUUACUGGGCCAUAAUUGACGCUGAGGAACGAAAGCCGGGGGAGCGAAUGGG
rnacentral:rRNA from 1 species